rnacentral:tmRNA from 2 species
CACCUUUUCAGGCGGGCAAGGAGUCCUUAUAUUCGACCGUGCCGGUCAUCCGAUCGGCUAUGGCGAUAAACGGUCGAUGAAAUAAACCUUUCGGACCCGGGGGCGGUACCCGGCGCCUCCACCUGAACCCAUCGUGGAUGGGCUCAGGCGGGGGCGAAAUAGGAUCGACGAGGGCGUAAAGAUCGAACUUUCGCUCGGCAUGGUUCCGCCGUUAUCGGGCCGAAUCAAUAGUUGCCAACGACAACUAUGCGGAAGCCCGUCUCGCCGCGUAAGCAGCGCGACAGCUUCAAUUCAAAGCCCUAGGGGUUCGCACUUCUAGGCGGGGCUCGGAGGCGCCUGGCAACAGAAGCCUCCACC